ensembl:lncRNA LINC02027 long intergenic non-protein coding RNA 2027
AGUACGGAGUGAAAUUGUGAUAACUCCUGGCACAACCAUUAAGACCCUCAUCUAUAGUGGACUGGAACAAAGCACAGAACUUAUAAAAAAGAAAAAAGUGCACAUUCAGUUUAAUGAGGUGUUAAUUCAAGGAAUGCUGUGAGAGUCAGAAGUUCUAAAUGCCAGUGUUUAAAAAGAUCCAUGUCACAGUGAUCUUGGGUAGGCUGGGACACACCAGCUCACUGACGGACCUGAAAAUGGAUUGCUGUGGGACUACAACCCUACUCAGGAUAUUCUGAGUUAUAAGUGGUGACUGUAACACAGAUUGAUGAAAGAUUCUGCAGGACGACAAAGGUUAAAGAUGUAGACCCGGAGCUAGAAGCCAGCACUGACACUGAUGGAGUGGACUGCGAUGAGAAUGCCCACAUUAUUGUCCUAUCCUCUGAUAACCAAUGUAAUAUGAAAACCGACUACAGAAGAAAGGAACAAAUUAAAUCCAUUAAUCAAGCAUAUCUCUGCUAA